GUCAGUCAGCCGGGCACUCGGGCAGUGCGUCUCAAGCCAUCGUAGGGAAAGGAAGUACGCCGCCUUGCCUCGCCUUGCCUCGCCUCGCCUUGCUGUUGUUGGUGGUGAACUCGCCCCAUUACUUGAAACCAGUCUUCCCUUCCGUGACGCUGUGGUCCUGCAGGUGGAAGGAGGGUGACCACCUUGUCUUGAGGAUGGAGAAGCAUAAAGACCAACGGGUACUCUUGUCAUUCCCCGGACCACCCUGCCCUCCACUUACGAUCCAGACAGCAAUCAGGAGACCGACGCGAUGAAGAGGAAGCCUAGACAAGUCGGACGACUAGCGGCAGUGAAGACGAGGAGGGUUGGAGAUGAAGGGACCGCUUCAGGAUUGAACAAAUUAAGAGGACAUCAAUGGGCCAUCAAUAACACGAAGAAAAGAAAAUGAAGAUGCUCAAGAUUUGGAGAUGAACGGACCGCCUCAAGAUUGAACCAAUUAGGACACCAAUGGGACAUCAAUAAAAUGAAGGAAGAGCAAGAAUGAAGAUGCACAAGAUUUGAGGAGGAGGAAGACUUGCAUACAUACCCUUCAAAGUAAAGCAACGGCCUCAAGAUUGACACGAAGAUGCACCAACACCAAAGAAGAAAGAACAAGGUGAAGAUAGUGACCAAGAGGACCUCCCCUUCACAACACAACGAUAGAGGGACAGCCACAAGAAUCAAGACACGAAGACACCAAAGAAGGAAGAGCAAGAUGAAGAUGGUGACCAAGAGGACCUCCCCUUCACAACACAACAACGCUAGAGGGACAGCCACAAGAAUCAAGACAGCAAGAGGACACGGCCCACUGAAGAACAAGAGGCUGACCUUCCCCAACACUGCCUCCUGUUGUCGGUGCCCCCUCCAUUCCCAGGCGUGGAGGGGCCGCCUUCCUAACCAGACGAGUGGGCUGACAGUGUCGCCGGCUAGCUGUAAUGUUGUAACAGUUUGAGACGCUCGCAUUUUUAAUUUUUUUGCAUUGAAAUAAACAAAUUGCACGUACAA